GGGGGCGACUUGGCUUCGACGUGGGUUGCAAAGCAGCGCAGGGCAUACCGAGGACCAGUCACCUCGUAAAUACAUCUGGAAAAGCAAUAGUCGCAAACGACGAACGUUACGCUCUAGCCGCUUAAAUCCGGCUAGACUCUGCACCGGUGGGCCUCAACGCCGGGUCUGGCAACAGACAGCAGAGCCAUUAACGAGGAUCGCGCUCCGUAGGGUCGCUUUACAGAGCGUUAAAAAAUAGGUGGCUCGCCUGUCAUCAGCCCGCCGGUUGGCGGAUGCCGGGUUAAACUAAAUAACAUGGCUAAGUAUGUAGAACUGACUGUAGAGGACUUGCGGACGCGGGUUCGAUUCCCGCCGCCUCCACCA
rnacentral:tmRNA from 2 species